rnacentral:rRNA from 1 species
UACGAAGGGGGGCUAGCGUUGCUCGGAAUUACUGGGCGUAAAGGGCGCGUAGGCGGCGACCCAAGUCAGAUGUGAAAGUCCUGGGCUUAACCUGGGGACUGCAUUUGAUACUGGGUUGCUUGAAUUCGGGAGAGGAUAGCGGAAUUCCCAGUGUAGAGGUGAAAUUCGUAGAUAUUGGGAAGAACACCGGUGGCGAAGGCGGCUAUCUGGACCGACAUUGACGCUGAGGCGCGAAAGCUAGGGGAGCAAACGGGG